AUGCGUGGAAGGCCAAAUUGCCGACUUUGUCCUCUUUGCGAACGGGAGCAAGAAUCCGGAGCGCACCUCUUCUUCAAGUGUCGCUUCACCAUCCGUCUUUGGAACUUAGCGAAUGCGUGGCUUCAUCUUGAGAGCAUCGACACCUCCGCUUGGCACCUUGAGAGCUCUGUCAAGGAUUGGUGGACAAAUUGUUCCAACAUGAACGCUGCCAAUCGGAAGGCCAUAUCGUCCCUCGCAAUGCUCAUCAAUUUGACCAUAUAGAACGAGAAGAAUGCCCGGCUGUUUCGCCACAAAAGCACUCCGCCUCCAAUCUUGCUCAAUAACAUCAAAGGAGAGGCCCACCUUUGGAUCACUGCGGGUGCAAAAAAAAAUUGGGGAUCAUUAUGCCUGGAGAGUAAUCAUUUUGUAACUCAGGGCUUGUAA
rnacentral:rRNA from 1 species